GCAUUGGGUUCAAUCCUUGGCACCACAUAAAAAUAAAAUAAAGGUUAUUAUGUUCACCUACAACUAAAACAUAUUUUUUAAAAAAGAACUUUCCAAAGUUUUCCAUUAUAGGCUCAUGAAUCUUAGGCCUAACUAUAAAAACUAAAAUUAUGAAAUUUCUAGCAGAAAACAGAAAAAAAUCUUUUAUGACAUUAAGGUAAACAAAUAUUUCUCAGCUAAGGCACCAAAGGCACAGUCCGUCAACAAAAAAUAAACCAUUUGGACUUCACCAAAAUCAACAACUUCUAAUCUUCAAAAGACAUUGUUAAGGGUUGUGAUAUAGCUCAGUUGGUAGAGUGCUUGCCUUGCAUGCACAAGGCCUUGGGUUUGAUCCCCAGCACCAAAAAAAAAAAAAAAAAAAAGUGUUAAAACACAUCACAGACUAAGAGGAAACACUUGCAAAUCAUAUAUCUGAAAAUGUAAUACCAAGAAAACAACCUGGUUUUGUACCAAAAAAGGGGGCAAUAUAUUUGAAAAAAUACACUAUCAAAGAAGAUAUAUGGGUGGCAAGCAAAUAAGAUCAACACCAGAAGUUUGCAAGGAAAUGCAAAUGAAAACCACAAGAGAUACUGCUUCACCUUAGAGUGGCUAAAAGUAAAAAGACUGAUGAUAUCAAGUACUUAGGAGGGUGUGAAGCAAUAGAACUGAUAUUUUGCUGGUAGAAAUGUGAGAAGGUGGAGCCCCCCUGUGGAAAAUAGUUUGGCUGGUUUCUUACACAGUUAAACAUAUUACAACAGCUAUUCAAUUCCUAUGCAUUUACUCAAUUGAAACGAAAACCCAUGGACCCCCCCUGCAAAAUCUGCACAUGAAUGUUUAUGUAAACAUAAUUUGUAAACAUAAAUUGUAAAUAUAUGUCCCUCAGCUACAGAAUAGAUAAGCAAAUUGUAGUACGUCCAUCAUGUUGGAGGGAAUGUGAUUGGGUACAAUUAUUUUGAAAAAUGGUUCUUCAGUAUUUACCAAAGUCAAACCCAGAAAUUGCAUUCCUAGAAAUAUACACAACAGAAAAAGCUUAUACAAGAAUGUUUACAGCAUUACUACUCAUAAUAACCCAUAAUAAAGAGUACAUAAUAACUUAGAGUAUCUAAUAAAGACUCCAGUUUGGACGUUCUUCCAUGACAACUUUCAAUCCCCAUCACUCUGCUUUCUCUUUUGCCUACACCUGGAUAUGCCCAUAGGAAAGCCCACAGUUCCCUUCCUUGGCACAGGUGGGAAGUUCGACCUACACAAACUCCAGCCUGGAUCCUCCUGCCCUCUGCCUGACCACCGUAUACAC
rnacentral:lncRNA from 1 species